GACGAACGCUUUGUCGGCGUGCCUAAUACAUGCAAGUCGAACGCACUGACGUCGGCCGAAGCUGCUUGCAGUGGACGUUGAUUGACGUGAGUGGCGGACGGGUGAGUAACACGUGGGUAACCUACCCUUAAGUGGGGGAUAACAUUUGGAGACAGAUGCUAAUACCGCAUAACCAUUCAGACCACAUGGUCUGAAUGUAAAAGACGGCCUUUGGCUGUCACUUUUGGACGGACCCGCGGCGUAUUAGUUAGUUGGUAAGGUAACGGCUUACCAAGACAAUGAUACGUAGCCGACCUGAGAGGGUAAUCGGCCACAUUGGGACUGAGACACGGCCCAAACUCCUACGGGAGGCAGCAGUAGGGAAUCUUCCACAAUGGACGAAAGUCUGAUGGAGCAACGCCGCGUGAGUGAAGAAGGUUUUAGGAUCGUAAAACUCUGUUGUUGGAGAAGAACAGGGACUAGAGUAACUGUUAGUCCUUUGACGGUAUCCAACCAGAAAGCCACGGCUAACUACGUGCCAGCAGCCGCGGUAAUACGUAGGUGGCAAGCGUUGUCCGGAUUUAUUGGGCGUAAAGCGAGCGCAGGCGGUUUUUUAAGUCUGAUGUGAAAGCCUUCGGCUUAACCGAAGAAGUGCAUUAGAAACUGGGAAACUUGAGUGCAGAAGAGGACAGUGGAACUCCAUGUGUAGCGGUGAAAUGCGUAGAUAUAUGGAAGAACACCAGUGGCGAAGGCGGCUGUCUGGUCUGUAACUGACGCUGAGGCUCGAAAGUAUGGGGAGCGAACAGGAUUAGAUACCCUGGUAGUCCAUACCGUAAACGAUGAAUGCUAAGUGUUGGAGGGUUUCCGCCCUUCAGUGCUGCAGCUAACGCAUUAAGCAUUCCGCCUGGGGAGUACGACCGCAAGGUUGAAACUCAAGGAAUUGACGGGGGCCCGCACAAGCGGUGGAGCAUGUGGUUUAAUUCGAAGCAACGCGAAGAACCUUACCAGGUCUUGACAUCCUUUGACCACUGUAGAGAUACAGCUUUCCCUUCGGGGACAAAGUGACAGGUGGUGCAUGGUUGUCGUCAGCUCGUGUCGUGAGAUGUUGGGUUAAGUCCCGCAACGAGCGCAACCCUUAUGACUAGUUGCCAGCAUUUAGUUGGGCACUCUAGUAAGACUGCCGGUGACAAACCGGAGGAAGGUGGGGAUGACGUCAAAUCAGCAUGCCCCUUAUGACCUGGGCUACACACGUGCUACAAUGGUCGGUACAACGAGUUGCGAACCCGCGAGGGUAAGCUAAUCUCUUAAAGCCGAUCUCAGUUCGGAUUGUAGGCUGCAACUCGCCUACAUGAAGCCGGAAUCGCUAGUAAUCGCGGAUCAGCACGCCGCGGUGAAUACGUUCCCGGGCCUUGUACACACCGCCCGUCACACCAUGAGAGUUUGUAACACCCGAAGUCGGUGGGGUAACCCUUUUAGGGAACUAGCCGCCUAAGGUGGGACAGAUGAUUGGGGUG
rnacentral:rRNA from 1 species